GAUGAAGAACGUAGCGAAAUGCGAUACGUAAUGUGAAUUGCAGAAUUCAGUGGAUCAUCGAAUCUUUGAACGCAUAUUGCGCUCUCUGGUAUUCCGGAGAGCAUGCUUGUUUGAGUAUCAGUAAACACCUCAACUUCCAUAUCUUUUUUGAAAUGGGAGUUGGACUUGAGUGAUCCCAACGCUUUUCCUCACCGAAAAGUGGCGGGUUACUUGAAAUGCAGGUGCAGCUGGACUUUUCUCUGAGCUAUAAGCAUAUCUAUUUAGUCUGCCUAAAAAACAGAUUAUUACCUUUGCUGCAGCUAACAUAAAGGAGAUUAGUUCUUGUGCUGACUGAUGCAGGAUUCACAAAGACAGGCUUCGGCCGACUUUGUAAACUCGAUCUCAAAUCAAGUAAGACUACCCGCUGAACUUAAGCAUAUCAAUAAGCGGAGGA
rnacentral:misc_RNA from 1 species